UACGUAGGGGGCAAGCGUUGUCCGGAAUCAUUGGGCGUAAAGGGCGCGUAGGCGGCCUUCUAAGUCGGACGUGAAAUCCCCAGGCUUAACUUGGGAACUGCGUCCGAUACUGGAGAGCUUGAGUUCCGGGAGAGGUGGAGUGGAACUGCGAGUGUAGAGGUGAAAUUCGUAGAUAUUCGCAAGAACACCAGUGGCGAAGGCGGCUCACUGGCCCGGUACUGACGCUGAGGUGCGAAAGCGUGGGGAGCAAACAGGG
rnacentral:rRNA from 1 species